rnacentral:rRNA from 1 species
UACGUAGGGGGCUAGCGUUGUCCGGAUUUAUUGGGCGUAAAGAGCGUGUAGGCGGCCAGGUAGGUCUGGUGUGAAAACUCGAGGCUUAACCUCGAGAUGUCAUCGGAAACCAUCUGGCUAGAGUCCGGAAGAGGAGAGUGGAAUUCCUGGUGUAGCGGUGAAAUGCGCAGAUAUCAGGAAGAACACCAAUGGCGAAAGCAGCUCUCUGGGACGGUACUGACGCUGAGACGCGAAAAGCGUGGGGAGCGAACAGG